rfam:Chelonia mydas contig169114, whole genome shotgun sequence.
GCCCCAGUGGCCUAAUGGAUAAAGCAUUGGCCUCCUAAGCCAGAGAUUGUUGGUUUAAGUCCCAUGUGGGGUG